UUGCCUGGAAGAUAUUGCUCUGUUCUCGGCACACAAAACGCCCUCGAUUCAAAAAAAAAAAAAAAAAAAAAAGUGUUCGGUAAAUAAUCUUAGCAAAGUGCGUGUUUAAAUUUGCUAAGCCCUCACUUGUCCACCGAGUAAGAUUUAAGGGGAACCUGCUGCAAUUUCCUCUAGAAAGUCCUGAAGGUAUUUCAGGGCAGAAGUAGAUCUAUAAAACAAGGUCACGCCACAGUUCCGGUUCCUCCUAAGAGGAUCUCCAAGCACUCUAAAAGCGCGGUUUUCGCGACGGUAUUUUCCCCAACUUUUAAAGGAAUCCAGUGGG
rnacentral:lncRNA from 1 species